rnacentral:tRNA from 1 species
GCGUUGGCGGUUCAGUGGUAGAACACUCGCCUUCCACGCGGGUGACCCGGGUUCGAUUCCCAGCCGACGCA